AAGCAAGUUGAGUUAACAUUGCUGAGCCCGGCUUUCCCAAACGCCUAUGCAGCCUCCACACUACUGUCUGAAGAGCUAUAAUUUAGAAAGCCACUCGAUCCUGGUGGAAAGGAUACCAAAGGGUUCUAGGACCCAGUUUUCCCAGUGGGACUCAACCUGUCAAUCCACCUUCUAACAGGAGUGUCCCGAAGCCCCCCAGCCCUCAAGGUCUGACUACAUCACCCUUUCUGCACCUCUAGGUGGGCCCAGCCAUGCCCCUAGAUCUAGGGAAAAAAGGCUCCUUUGGGGUUGACAAAACGCCACCUGGGUUCUGUAAUGCCAAGUGACUUCCAGAAGUGGGGCUCAGCUGGGACUCAAGGACGGAACACCUCCCCACACUCUGGUUCCGCUAGGUGAUGCCUGGUGCAUUUUUUUUUUUUUUUAAAUAUCUGACUCCAAGAGGAAAACACAGUCUCCAUUUAGAAACAGAGACGCUGGCAGGCUUUCCCCAGUGUGCAAGCCCCACCGCACUGAGUUUCUGGUAAUUUACCUGCGGCCUGAAUUAUUUAGAUGGAUUGAGCUCACGUGGACUUCAGGUGUCCCAAUUACCUGGGUGAUUUGCAUGUUUACGAGUGAGGGUGAUUGAACGCUAGCUCAAAGCAGAUUCCAAAUUCAGACUUUGGAAUGGAAGCCCUUGAGGUCCUGGCCCCUGCUCCUUUCUACCCCCACCUGCAAGAGGAGAGUCACAAAGAGCAAGCCUGCAGUGAGCAGGCCAGGAACCCAUCUCCUAACCAGAGCAGGAGGCAUCACCGGGGCUUGGCCAGCCUCAGUUUCUCCUUCUAGUCAUGCUGGCAAAGCAAAGGUGUCCAAGAAGGCCAAAAGAAGGUGUCAGAUCCCUUGGAGCUGGAGUUACAGGCUGCCUGGAAUGGGUGCUAAGAACCGAAUUCAGGUCCUCUGCAAGAGCUGUACCUGCUCUUAACCAGGGAGCCACCUAUCCAGCCCUUACCACUACUCUUAAACCAACCGAGGUCCCAGGAACAAUCUGACAGAGAGAGCCUCAGAUGGGCUGCAGCUGUUCCUGACCCGAUGACUUCUGGCUUCACGGAAGGAGUUGUUUAUCGCCCAAGAGUUAUGAACAUAUCCUAGGCGGCUGGAAGAUGCUUUAAACAUCGUGCACAGUGUGAAUGGCCACCCCGAGGAUCUGUUGAUAAUUCUGAGCCAAGGUCAAACCAGGUUGUGUUUUGACCUCUUCCUUUUGAAUAUAUAUUUUAAUGACUUGAAAUGCCUUUUGGAUCAUCUACACAGCUCUGUUUUGAUCGGAAAAAAAAAAAAAGAAGAAAUAUCAGUAGGCUCCUUUUUGUGGAGCCACCACUUAAAUGUCACAGAAAAGCAAGGGGGCAUUGGAUCUGAUCCUCAGUAACUCCAAAAGGCAACCUUAGGAAUUGCUUCUAUAAAAAAGAGCAGCUUGUUUGAGGGUGUAUCCCCCCACCAGCCCCGGGAAGAUCCUCCUCAUAUGUCCCUUCCAUGUGAUUUUUGGUUUGUGACAGCACCCCUCUCCCCUCUUCCUCUGGCUCGUGCCUUCUGUUUGGUGGCUCACAUUCCUGGUGAUUUUGACCAGCCCUACUGCCCCAUGCUAGGUGGUAGUAACCUUUGUGUGCUAUUGAAAUCACUUGUUGAACACCAACUUUCCCCACCAGACUAUCAUUUUGACAUGAGCAAGAUGCACUCCUGUCUCUCCCCUGGGUAUAAGCCCUGUGCCUAGCGCACGGCCUGCCGUGGAAUAGCCACCUGUCAAAUAUUUAUGGGAUGAACAUAGCUACAGACCUCCGCCGCUCUGUGAAAUGCACAAAGGCUGCUAAUCAGAAGUAAGCAGAAAUGCAGAAGGAAAGAUGAACAGGCCAAAGGGGUAGGAAGCAAGCACCAGCUGGCUGAAAAGACAAAGGGGCUGGGUUUUCUCAUCCUUGGAACAGGAGCGAGCAGGGCAGCAGGAUACUGCUGGAUUCUGGGCACUCCCAUUCACCCAGCAACCUGACCUGACAGGCAGGCUCCCAAGUUGGGCUGGCUGUCCCUACUUUACAGAUGUGAGGACUGAAGCUUGCUUGAGGUGUCCAAAUGGCUGACAUCCAUAAAGUCCAUAUGCAGCUGGAAGAAGUUUGCACCCAAGAGCACGCACGGAGCAUCCAAGCUGAAAGGCGUAGCAGAAUAGGCAAGGACAGACUGAUCCAACCUCUGCCGCUCACUCCCAGAGGGACCAGCCUACCUGCCCCAAGAUCAUAAAUGAGCUUCUGCUCACAGCCAGGAAAACAGAGCACCCAGAUUGGAACUAAAGGCCAACAGGGUCCAAGUGGGGAAACACCUCUGGCCUCACCUUGACAGUGAGCUGGGGUAGCAGUCAGGGCUCAGAGGGAGGGCUAUUCAGUUUCCUUCCUAUUCUCAAGCCUUCAUCCAUGCCUUUCCAGACUUGUAGAGACACCAGCCAGACUGGCUGGGGGCCCAGAGAGGAGGGCACCAGCUGGAGCCGCUUCGACAGCACAGCCAGAGUUGUGCGCAGCAAGGUUGGGGGGGGGGGGGGACUGUCUUUCUUCCCAGCUGUGCAGUUGCUAGGCCAGAGGCUUGCUGUCCCGGGAGGAUCCUUCCCAUUUGUAAUCCCAGUCUCCAUGAGCUACACCCAGACAUCCCAGCCCAAGGAGAAGGAGGGUGCCAUUAUGUACCCCUGGUACAGAAGAGCUGUGUUUGCCCUGGCUUGUGUCUCUCGAUAUGGACCCUUCUGGCGACACUGGCCAAAGGACCUCCCAUUCAAAGCCUUUGUUUCCACUCCCAUCUGUCCAUUAUUCAGAACAUAACUCCUUAUGCAUAACUAAAGAUGGUAACUAGAAAUCAGAGCCUUGGAGAAGUGGCCACCCUGGGAGGGCUUCGCAUCCUACAGAGCACCGGCCCCUGGGACCCCUGCCCUGAGUGGAUGGGGUAGAAUCCUCUCCCAGGCUUUAAAUCGGCACUGUAGCCAACUGUGUUGACACAGGAGGAAUAGCAAAGGAUUGGGGUAGCUAGAGAGAGCUGCCCUAGAGGGCUCCCACCUGGGCGUCUGGCUUUCGGGUCUGUCACAGAUGUGCUUGGGGGAGCGGCUUUCCCUGCAUCAGCAGAAUGUGUGUCUUGGCUCUUGCCUGUUUCACUGGGGGGUGACCGCUCUUCUUCCUCCGGCCCUUUGUCAACUGCAAUGCAGCCACUGUUUCUGUCUCAAAGCGGACAGAGCAGUAAACUGGAGAGAGUGAAAAGAUCCACACUUGUCAGAAUGUCUUGAUGGGGCACGUGCCACGUGGUGGCUAGAGGUUAUGUUGCAGAAGGGACUUCCAGGAGGGGAAAUCAGGACACCCAGUCUGCGGCCAUGGGUCUUGUCUCUCUGACUCUCCAGUUGACACAUCUUUGGCUGAAAUCUCAGCUAAGCAUGGAGGAUGGGCUGCUUCUGGCUUUCUCUUUGUUGUCCAGGAUCCUGGAGCAAAGGUCUGACUCAGUGAGAGAGCUCACAUUUUCCAGACUUACUGCAGUAGACAGUGGUUAGGGUGAGGGUGAGGGAGAGCUGCAUGGUUCACCCGUGCAGAACAGAGAAUCACUUGCUCCCUGGGGCCUCACGUGAGAAGGCUAGGCUGCGAUGGCCAGCCCCACUGGCUUCCCUGAGGGUCAGUGGUGCCACACCCUGUCUCUCUGAGAGGACUCCAUGUCACUGGUCAUCCCCCUAAGACCUCAGGCUCAUUAAGAUGAGAAGGGACACUGGGAAGGCAAGCCAGCUCUGCCACCAUCCUUUUGGGACUGGCAAUUUCUGCACAGAGAGCCUAGGGGUCAGUAGGUUUGUCCUCAGAGUCUCGGAUCUUAUGACCAUCUGGUUAAACCAACUAGAGAGGAAUGGGGCCUCGACCUGCCCUUGCCUUUACCUUUGGUAUCUCAGUCCACAGUGACCCAUUUCUAGACAGCCAGGAAAAGUCCAUGCAAUGGCAUGGUCUUUAUCUCUGAGGAGUUCACAGCCUGGCCAUGGGGUGGACUCCAUGCACUCAAGAACUAAGACUUGAAUCCAGAAACAUGCAAGGAGAUCUGAGCAGGAUACAUACAUUCUGAUUCCUGCUAUAGAACAUUCUAGAGAAGGCAAGACCAUGGAGACAGAAAACAGACCAUUGUUCACCAGAAGUUCAGGGAACCGAACCAGGGAGAGAAGGAUGAAUGGGUGCAGUAAAGGGGGUUUUAGGGCAGUGAAAUGCUUCUAGAUGGCAGACAGGACACUAGACAUUUGCCCAGACACACCACAUGUAUACCAUCAACAGUAACCCUAGUGCAGACUGUGGCUUCGUCUAAUGUAACCCAUCGCCCUAGUCCUCUUGCCCCACACCACACUAAUCAAGACACUCCCAGCAGGAGCAAGUGAGGUGGGAGUGAGGAGGCACAUGGGAACUCUCUGUACUGUCAAGUCAUUUUCCCCCCUGCAAACUGCUUAAAAUCAUAGUCUGUUCGCUGCAAGAAAAAUGCAAGGUGGAGAAAGAAAGGGAGGAUGGACUCACCGUGGGAAGGCUAAGCAGGGAGGGUGGGAAUGAGAAGAAAAGUUAGAAACCAACUCUAAGAGGAGCAGGGCUCUUAAAGAUGUUCCUCCCACACAGAACCCAAACUCGCAUCUGUUUGGACCUGAAAAAGACCUUGUAGGUCAGAGCCCCUCGUAACAGCAGAAUGAGAGGGAAGGGAAGAAAGUGUGGGGGUACAUUUUAGGGAGUGGAGCCCGUGGCACAGAAGGCACAAACCACAAGUGCAAUUAGUCAAAAAAGAACUUGAAAUUAAAAAACGAUUUCAAGCCGAGGAGGGGAGUACAUAAGUUACCGCGUCCCCGAGACAUUUAUGAAUAAUACAAAUGCCGUGAGGUGCUGGAGCCGGGGAGCACAGUUAAUUAAUAUGUACAGGAGCAGAGAUGCUCUCGAAAAACAAUGGCGCUGCUUCCCUCUUGCUGGAAGUAAAAAUAUUUCCAGAAAGACGGACACGUUUAUUAUUUCCUCGCAUAAUUACCUUAUUGUGGAACGGUUGUAAUGGAACACAUUAGAGACAUUAGAGGCACUGAGCACCUGCCUGCCUACCCUUAAUGUGCUUUGGUUCCAUGGUGCUGGGCUCGGCAGGUAGGCAGAGGCUGGCGGGGGGCCUGGGGAGACAGCCUUGCCCUUCCCUCCUGCCCUCUGCUUCCCCACCCCCCACCCCCGAAGCCAACACACUCUUCUCAGUCCCCAUCCUUCCACAGCUCACUGCCACCCACUCACGGGCAUCUCGGGGAGCAGGUGACAGCGCGAGGAGCAGGUGCUGAAGAAGGCUGGACCGAGUGGAAAUGACUGUAGAAGUGAGGGAAGUGGAAGUUGUCCCCAGCUGGAGGAAGAAGGAUGGGAAGUUGGGAGAGAGAUGGCUUCAGCAGCCACCCCCAAAGCAGGACAGCCGGGUCAGGGAGCUGUCUGCCUUUCUGCUGCUCUGGGAAUUGGGGAGUGUUCUAGUUUCAUUUCUCUUGCUGUGACAAAUAUCCUGGCAAGAGGCAACCUAGGGGUUAUUUUAUUGGUGAAAUUAUUAAGGCCACUCCACGUAGUUAAAAGGAGAUUUAUUUAAUGGCGUAACUUACAAGUUAAGGGAUAGGUAGGUCGCGGGGUCUGGGGAAGGUGUAUCGCAGUCCAGCCGUGUUCUCUGGAGCUCUGCUUGGCCCACCUUCACUAUCCAAGGUCCCGGAACCGAGUGACUGCGCCGACCAUCCAGAGCUCAGGUCUCCAGGCGCCUCCCUUGGCCCCGCCUUGUAGGCAUGACAGUUGCCGAAGUCUCAAUGGGGGUUGGAACUUCCAGAUCAAAGCUGGAAUGGCUACCCACUACAUUAUUUGGCUUACAAUUCCAGGUUCCAAAAAUUCCACGUUAAGGUCCAUCAUAGCAGGGUAGUUGCCUGGAAGGAGUUUGCAAUGCUGGUCACAUUGUAUCCACAGUCAAGAGCAAAGAGAGAACAUAGGCAUUUUUGCUGGCUCAGCUAGCUUUCCUCACACCUGCACAGUGUAAGAUCCAGCCUGGGGAAUGGCACUGCCCACAGUGGAUUGGAUCAAUUAACAACCAAGACAACCAUCCCCAUAGACAUGCCCACAGGCCAGCCUGAUCCAGAAAAUUCCUCAACUGAGACUCUCUUCCCAGGUGAUUCUAGGUUGUAGCAAAUUGACAGUUAAAACUAUCAUAGACAAAAAGGAGAGGGAGAAUUCUCGUCUGAGUGACUGGGCCCCAGUAUACUCCUUAUUCUCACCCAAAACCAAAAAUCCCUUUGUUACUAUGCGGGUGUCUUUACCUACAAAAUGGUACCCAACGUUAGUUUUGGGUGUCAAUGUAAUGGGACUGAGGGUUGCCUAUGGAAUUGGUAAGUAGGUAUGUGGUAAGGGUUGCUUCUCUCAUUGCUAUGACAAAAGUAACUUAAGGAAGGUUUUGGGGGCUCACAGUUUGAGACUAUAGUCCACCAUGGAGGUGACGGGCCACAUUGUAGCCACCAUUAGAAAGCAGACAGAGAUCAACGCAGCUGCUGAUCUCAAUUCCUCUCCUUACUUAGUUCUAGCCCCCAGCCUCUGGGAUGGUGCCGCCCACAGUAAGGGUGCACAUUCUCACAAGUGACCCAAUCCUUUGUAGACAUGUCAGAGGUUUGUCUCUCACUCAAUUCUAGAUCCUAUCAAGUUGACAACAUGAACCAUCACAAGAUGUUUCCACAGAUCAGCGCCUAGAGCAGCACAGUGAGCAGGGAGGACCUGUUCUGAAUGAGAGCAGGUACUGGCCAACCAGCUGUGGGCACAGACGGACCCGGAAGUGAACAAAGGCGAUCUCUCCUCCUCCCAUCUGGCCGCACGAUCCGUCCUCCUCAAGGGCACUCCUAACAUGAUUCUAACUCAGUCCUAUCGUGAUUUUCUCAGCCAUGAUACAAUGUAGGCAGCAGCAGCAGAGGGGUAGGGGGUUCACAGGGCCCUGCACCAAUAGGGAUACCCAAUCUUAACUUUUCAGCCUCCGAAACUGUGGUUUAAAUUAACUUCCCUUCUUUCUACCAUACUCAGCCUUAAGUAUUUGGUCAUAGCAACAGAAAGCAAACUACAAGUAUUGCCAGCACAGGGCACAUUCUGGUCACCUCAGACAAGAGACACACCUAGUUCACCGCAUCCCACCCCUUUCCUUUACAGAGGACUACCUACCCCAGUGGGAGAGACCUGAUUCACUCUUUCCCAGGAAAAGAGGUACUGACUUCUAGCCUUGCCUCCCUUGCUCCUUUUAAUGACUGCACACAUUGGAAACCUGAUAUUGGCAAUGAGUGAUGCGCCUACCUGAAUGCUGUCCUUGGCUUCUUGUCUACCUCUGGCUGUCCCACUCUCCCACCCCCACACACAUACCAUUUCUUCUCUCUCUCCAUCCCCUCUUCAGCUCACCACCUUCAGAUGCCCGCAACCUGCAGAAACUUGCUCUGGAGCCUCCUCGGUUCCCAUUUUCUAAGCCUUACAGCUCAGUUGUUUAGAUAAAUUUCACAUCUGUUCUUUAAGUCCGUCCAGUUUUUCUUCUGAGUUCUAAGAUUUGUGACUCUAGCCAUCCACAAGACAUAUUUAUCUGUUAAAAAAAAAAAAAGCCAGGUGGUAGUGACACACGCUUUAAUCCCAGCACUCGGGAGACAGAGGCAGGCAAAUCUCUGAGUUCAAGGCCAGCCUGGUCUAUAAAAUGAGUUCCAGGACAGCAAAGGCUACACAGAGAAACCCUAUCUCAAAAAAUCAGAACACACACACACACACACACACACACACACACACACACACACACACACACACGUGUGUGUGUGUGUCUCAAGAGGAAACCUUCAUGUUCUUCCCUACAAGUGCUUCUACUAUUUUCUAUUUCUGGGCCUGACAACCCCUUCUGCUGUCAACUUGACACAAUCCAGAGUCACCUGGGAAGUGAAUCUCAAUGAGCGAUUGUCUAGAUCAGAUUGGUGGUGGACAUGUCUGUGGGGGAAUUAUCUUGACUGUGUUCAUUGAUGAGGGAAGGUCCAGCCAACUGUGGAGGGCACCAUUCCUUAAGUAGGGAUGUGAGACUGCAUCAAGGUGAGAGAGAACCAACAGGCACACGUACAUUCAUUCUUCCUCUGCUCUUGACUGUGGGUGUGACUAGCUACUUCAAACUGCUUUGACAUUCCUGCAAUGAUGGUCUGUAACCUGAAAUUGUAAGCUAAAUAAACCCUUCCUUAAAAUUGCAUGUCGGGGUGUUUUAUCACAGCCACACAAAUGAAACCAGAAC